rnacentral:rRNA from 1 species
UACGAAGGGGGGCUAGCGUUGCUCGGAAUGACUGGGCGUAAAGGGCGCGUAGGCGGUUUGGACAGUCAGGCGUGAAAUUCCCGGGCUUAACCUGGGGGCUGCGCUUGAUACAUCCAGGCUUGAGUGGGGAAGAGGGUCGUGGAAUUCCCAGUGUAGAGGUGAAAUUCGUAGAUAUUGGGAAGAACACCGGUGGCGAAGGCGGUGACCUGGUCCUUUACUGACGCUGAGACGCGAAAGCGUGGGGAGCAAACAGG